rnacentral:rRNA from 2 species
AAAAGAACUAACAAGGAUUCCCCUAGUAACGGCGAGUGAAGCGGGAUGAGCUCAAAUUUAAAAUCUGGCUGGUUUACUAGUCCGAAUUGUAGUUUAUAGAAGCGUUUUCGGUGGCAGCCUGGGUAUAAAUCCUUUGGAAUAGGGUAUCAUAGAGGGUGAGAAUCCCGUCUUUGACUCAGUGCAUGCUACUAUGUGAUACGUUUUCAAAGAGUCGAGUUGUUUGGGAAUGCAGCUCAAAAUGGGUGGUAAAUUUCAUCUAAAGCUAAAUAUUGGCGAGAGACCGAUAGCGAACAAGUACCGUGAGGGAAAGAUGAAAAGAACUUUGAAAAGAGAGUUAAACAGUGCGUGAAAUUGUUGAAAGGGAAACGUUUGACACCAGUUAUGCGGGUGGAAAAUCAGUCUUUUGCAGUGGGGAGUUGUGGGCGUUCAGACCGCAAGGCUGGCGUUUGCUUCAUCUUUGUUGUAAGUGAUGCACUUUUUCAUUUGCAGGUCAACAUCAGUUUGCUCUGCUGGACAAAACUCCAAGGGAAGGUGGCAGCUUAGGCUGUGUUAUAGCCCUGGAGCGAUACAGUGGGGUGGACUGAGGUUUCGCAGUGUGUGCUUUCGGGCAAGGCUGACUGGGUGCUAUGGGAUCGUUCGGCGUACAAUGCAUGCAUUUUGCGUCGUGUCUUUUUCAUACUCGCUCAACUCGGCUCUUCCACGCUUA